rnacentral:rRNA from 1 species
UAACGGGGAUUACUGGAGCGUAAGCGCACGCAGGCGGUCUGUCAAGUCGGAUGUGAAAUCCUUCGGGCUCAACCUGGGAACUGCAUUCGAAACUGGCAGGCUAGAGUCUUGUAGAGGGGGGUAGAAUUCCAGGUGUAGCGGUGAAAUGCGUAGAGAUCUGGAGGAAUACCGGUGGCGAAGGCGGCCCCCUGGACAAAGACUGACGCUCAGGUGCGAAAGCGUGGGGAGCAAACAGGAUUAGAUACCCUGGUAGUCCACGCCGUAAACGAUGUCGACUUGGAGGUUGUGCCCUUGAGGCGUGGCUUCCGGAGCUAACGCGUUAAGUCGACCGCCUGGGGAGUACGGCCGCAAGGUUAAAACUCAAAUGAAUUGACGGGGGCCCGCACAAGCGGUGGAGCAUGUGGUUUAAUUCGAUGCAACGCGAAGAACCUUACCUACUCUUGACAUCCAGAGAACUUUCCAGAGAUGCAUUGGUGCCUUCGGGAACUCUGAGACAGGUGCUGCAUGGCUGUCGUCAGCUCGUGUUGUGAAAUGUUGGGUUUAAGUCCCGCAACGAGCGCAACCCUUAUCCUUUGUUGCCAGCGGGUCAGGCCGGGAAACUCAAAGGAGACUGCCAGUGAUAAACUGGGAGGAAGGUGGGGAUGACGUCAAGUCAUCAUGGGCCUUUACG